GCCUGCUCCAUCCUUCAUCAGAUGGUGUGGCUGGUGAGCGGUCUAUGAAUAUUUAAGGAGUUUUACUAAAUUCAUAGAACCUUGUAAAAACGGUUUAAAAAUGUCGAGCGAAAUAUUUGCAUGUCGCGUUUCGCAACAGCUGCGCAGCUACAGGGGCAGGACAGGGGAGCCAAGUGAGCUGCGAGGGACCAGAGAGGGAGACCCCAGCAGUGCCUGCAUCUCGGGAAGUAAAUGCUGUAUUUUAAAGAUUUUUUUGUGGCUUGUGAGUGGCUUUGUGUACCCAAGACAUCUCUUUGCAGCGUCCAGAACAUUCCCAUCGUUAGCCUAGAUUGGGAUAAAAUGAGAUGCCAGGAGGGGACUGCAGAGCAGCCACACCUGGACCCCACCACCAGGGAGGUGAACCCACUGCGGAUAAAGCCUUCUCAGCUCCCAGACCUUCGGACAAAGCCCCGUGCUGCAGGUUACUGUCAUCCCCAAACCUCAUGUCUGGGGUGAAGCCAAGACGAGCCCCGUGUGCCAAAACCAGCCAUAAACACCACUGCUCGGCAGGAGAAGCGAGCCGCGACCACACCGCCUGGAUCUGCAUCCACAGGGCAUGGGGCAGAGUCCAAAUACAAAGGAAAAAUGCAGACUGGGAGCUGCAGCCACGAUUCCCAGGCUCAUCCCAUGUCUCACUCCCCGCUGCUCUGUUUUUGGGGGUCCAGCCCCAGGCAGUGGGAGCACGGAGGCAGGAGGCAUGCAGCAAGCAGCAGCUCCCUGAGUAAAUGCCCUGUGCAUCCCUGAUAGAGCACAUCCAGCCAGGAACUCAGGGGCAGAAAGGGCAUCCUCUCUACUAGAAAUGAACACAAAACUGAGCCCCAAGCGGGCCAUGAGGGACACAAGGGACAUGGCUCAGUGUGGGCAGUUUCCCCUGAGCCCAGCACUGCUGCCUCUGCCCAGUGCCAGCAGAGCUCACCUGCUGGGGAUGGAGGAGCAAGCCAAGGCCCUGAUCAACCUGGUAUUGAAAACUCAUUUCCCAAAAUGAAGCUGCAGGAGGACACAGCUUUGCAGGAAGAGACACAGACUUUUCUAGCUGGCUGGGGACAGACAUCUCCCCCGGGUGGCUCACACAUCUAUCGCAGCCACCUCCCCUUCCUCCUCCUUCGUCGUAGCCACGUGGAUUAUCUGAACUCUCCCCUUCCCCCAGCACAUCAUUUCCAUUUAUCUUCCAGGCAAUUAAGACUGUUUAAAAGAUGAUCACUUUGGCCUUUAAAGCAUUUUUUUCUGAAGUGCUUCAAA